CCUAACACAUGCAAGUCGAGCGGUAGAGAGAAGCUUGCUUCUCUUGAGAGCGGCGGACGGGUGAGUAAUGCCUAGGAAUCUGCCUGGUAGUGGGGGAUAACGUUCGGAAACGGACGCUAAUACCGCAUACGUCCUACGGGAGAAAGCAGGGGACCUUCGGGCCUUGCGCUAUCAGAUGAGCCUAGGUCGGAUUAGCUAGUUGGUGGGGUAAUGGCUCACCAAGGCGACGAUCCGUAACUGGUCUGAGAGGAUGAUCAGUCACACUGGAACUGAGACACGGUCCAGACUCCUACGGGAGGCAGCAGUGGGGAAUAUUGGACAAUGGGCGAAAGCCUGAUCCAGCCAUGCCGCGUGUGUGAAGAAGGUCUUCGGAUUGUAAAGCACUUUAAGUUGGGAGGAAGGGCAGUUACCUAAUACGUAAUUGUUUUGACGUUACCGACAGAAUAAGCACCGGCUAACUCUGUGCCAGCAGCCGCGGUAAUACAGAGGGUGCAAGCGUUAAUCGGAAUUACUGGGCGUAAAGCGCGCGUAGGUGGUUUGUUAAGUUGGAUGUGAAAUCCCCGGGCUCAACCUGGGAACUGCAUUCAAAACUGACUGACUAGAGUAUGGUAGAGGGUGGUGGAAUUUCCUGUGUAGCGGUGAAAUGCGUAGAUAUAGGAAGGAACACCAGUGGCGAAGGCGACCACCUGGACUAAUACUGA
rnacentral:rRNA from 1 species